rnacentral:rRNA from 1 species
UACGUAGGGGGCAAGCGUUGUCCGGAUUUAUUGGGCGUAAAGCGCGUGUAGGCGGCCAGAUAGGUCUGCUGUGAAAACUCGAGGCUCAACCUCGAGCUGUCGGCGGAAACUAUCUGGCUAGAGUCCGGAAGAGGAGAGUGGAAUUCCUGGUGUAGCGGUGAAAUGCGCAGAUAUCAGGAAGAACACCUAUGGCGAAGGCAGCUCUCUGGGACGGUACUGACGCUGAGACGCGAAAGCGUGGGGAGCGAACAGG